AAUUCCCAAAAUUGACCUACGAAGACAAUAACUCAAAUAACAUUCUGAUUUUAUAUCCAUGUGAGUAAGAAUAACAACUUACCCUUUUACCUACUUACCGGUACCCAUGGGGGGUCCAUAGGAAUGUCCCCUUACGCAUGAACUUAAAAACUAAGUUUGUCAAUUAACUGGCCGUCCAAUACCCUGUCCAGAAAUAGGUGUCAAACAUACCAUCUUCUUGAUACUCCGUUUAAUAUGAGGGUGAACUAUAUCUCUUAAACCCUUCUGGUAUGGGACUUUUCAGCCCCAUCCAACUGAGAUAAUGUCCACGAUAGGGUUUUUCUAUGUACCAU
rnacentral:lncRNA from 1 species